rnacentral:tRNA from 1 species
GGGUGUAUUUUAAGGAAGUAGAAUGUAGCUUUUGUAAGGCUAAGGUGCUGGGGUCACCCUC